AAGUCGUAACAAGGUUUCCGUAGGUGAACCUGCGGAAGGAUCAUUAAUGAAAUUUAUGACUGGAGUUGUAGCUGGCCCUUAAAAACGGCAUGUGCACGCUCCUUUCACUAAUCCACACACACCUGUGCACCUUCGCGGGGGUCUUCUUUUGAAGGCUCGCGUCCCUUUACACACCCUUUGUAUGUCUUAAGAAUGUCUACUCGAUGUAAUAAAACGCAUCUAAUACAACUUUCAACAACGGAUCUCUUGGCUCUC
rnacentral:misc_RNA from 1 species